GCGGGUGUGGCGGAAUUGGCAGACGCACCAGACUUAGGAUCUGGCGCCGGAAGGCGUGGGGGUUCAAAUCCCUUCACCCGCA
rnacentral:tRNA from 4 species